GGAAAGAGUAUUUUUGGGUUGAUUUGCAAAAUACAAUCACUCUUAAGUUCUUAAUGUUAAUUUUAGAGCUGGUCCUGGUUCUCAGAAGUUGUACCUCUUGAAUAUGGAAACAGUUUUUAAUGAAAAUAGUGUCAAGAAUCCAGGCAUGGUUUAGCUCUAUCUUCAUUUGGACACACAGGGAAAUGCAGAUGAAGAUGAAUUACCUAGCAGAAUUCUGGAGUCAUGUGACAAAUCGUGUCAUGAGUUCACGAGGAAAAUUACCGAAUUGUGCAGUCGCGUAUGGGGCUCCCUGCCCCCAGCCUCAGCCUUCACUCCCUCCCACAAGCUUCUUUGCAGACCUCCUCUUGCUGGAUAGUCUUUCCAAAAUGCUUUCUAAUUAUCCCAAUCCUUCCUAAUCCCCCUACCAAAAUCAGGUCACACUUGCUCCCCAAAACCUCUGGUUUCUCUGACUCCUAUUUUCUUCUUUGUUAUUUAAGUACCUUCAGGACAUCCUGUUUAGUUCUGGAGGAUUCAGCGUCUGGAAUCCUUGUCUGUGAAGGUGAGAUGUAGCCUUCUCCCCUAAAAAAUAAAAGGAAAUAACUGAAAAAACUGGCAGAACAUUCAAACAAAACUACUUAAGUACUCAGAAUUUAAUAUUAA